AAACAAUAGAACCCUGCCCAAAACACAAUAGAAAAUGUUAUUGAUUUAUUCCAAGAUAACACAUGACGUACCGGUUACGUAAUGGAUUGGUACUUUUUGGUAAUUUCACGAUUUAGCAACUGGCAAGUACACAGCACUGGUGGCGGUUGGAGUAACCAUAGCAACCUGGGGACAUAACGGCGCCUGAAGAAGACAUAGGCCUACCUCCGGCUCUCCAGUACCUUCCUGAGAAUGCUCCUUUGCUCCACUGCUCCAGUUCCUCCACCACACCAUCAGAUCACCUGCAAGAGACAAUCUUCAAUUACCCACAGCUAAGAAACUUGCAUACCUUUACUUCCUCUAAAUACUCACCUUCAGACUGUUGCUUCUCAUCCUGCUGCCCGUUUGUCAAUAAACCUGUUGUUGUGAGAACU
ensembl:lncRNA